GAAAGGGAGAAGCGAGGCAAGCGACGAGGAAGCGAUGAGCGCGAGGCAAACCGUGCCUGAGGUGAAGAAAAAGAAUCCGUCGACAGAUCGCAGGCCUAUCUGAUGUCCCGGUCGACUACGUCCGAAGACGCAGUUCAGACGAUCAACUUAAGCCUCCUAAGGGCACGCGACAUCCGGGCGUCCUUGGAGUGCCUCGUCCUUGAGAUACUCGAACGUUAUGAACCAGUGUGUCGCUUCUGUGGUGGAGCUGAUCGCACCGAUCUCAUGCUCUCAACUUGCAACUGUAAAGAACCACACCAUCGCUGGGCCCACGCGACCUGCCUCGAGACCUAUGUCACCAUGUACAACGCCGUCACAUGUACAGUUUGCAGUCGCCGCUUUCCUGUUCGUAAGGUGCCCGCUGUAAGUCAAGUGCAACAAGAACCACCACGACUACAACACCACCAGAACCACAUCACACCACAAAAUUUAGCAUUACAAAAACGUUAACAUUAUACACUUUUCCAGAGCAACUAGCAAGCCAAAUAAACAGUUAUAGUUCUGUGCCACGAGUUUCCUGGUACAGUACGCGAAAAGUCGUAGGAACCGAAAGCGAGCAAUUUCUAUUGCAAUCAACUGGCUCCGUGAGGCGACGCCGUGGGCGGCAGUUUGCGGACAAUAUUGCAAUAGAAACGGAUGUGGCACAAGAAAUAGACUCGUUCUAGUUGCUUUAUUUGUUUCCCUAGUUGCUUUUGAAAAGUGCCUAUAAGCAAAAAUUACCGCGCAGGGGUGAGUGUGUUCACGUUGAAGAAUAUCAAGAAGGAAGCAACUCUUCAAAACCUGGGAAUCUAUUGUAUUGCUUCCUGGGAUCCUGCUGAGAGACAACUGCAGAAUGAUUAUAAGAAAACUUUUGCAAGACGUCUCGAGGGAUAGAUCAAUGAAGUUUGAACAUGUCUCCUGUUUGCAUCGCUGAUUACAGCAGUCGUGAGGACAGACAUACCGGGAAUACCUGGGAACUCGUGCAGCUCGAUGGCAUCUCCUCUACCUGAUAGCGGCGACCAUGUUUUUCGCAAGCUACUUGUGGGUACUGGGCAGUGCAUGGUCAUAUACAGUUUUCACACUUCGACCUUUGUGGAUCUGGGCAGUAAUCGUGUACCCGUUGCUCUGCUGUCAGACGCUGUCCUGGUCUGGUGCCGCAUAUUUGGGAUUCAGGUUCUAUAAGGAUAUGGUAUCGGGUUGGAGAAAGGAACAUGGCACGUACGUAGUGGAGGCUGCACGCUUCUUCAGGUCUCCAGCUCAGUGUGACAAAUUGAGGAUAUCUUCAGCUUGGUAGUCUCAUCAACUACUACUAUUCAUCCAUAUAUCACCAUUCAUCAUUAUUGGGCUCAUCUAUUUGUCGCCGCAAGUCAAUAAGCGAACCUUUGUGAAUAAACAAAUAGGAAAAGUU